rnacentral:rRNA from 1 species
UACGUAGGGUGCAAGCGUUGUCCGGAAUUAUUGGGCGUAAAGAGCUCGUAGGCGGUCUGUUGCGUCGGCUGUGAAAACCCGGGGCUCAACCCCGGGCCUGCAGCCGAUACGGGCAGACUAGAGUUCGGCAGGGGAGACUGGAAUUCCUGGUGUAGCGGUGGAAUGCGCAGAUAUCAGGAGGAACACCGGUGGCGAAGGCGGGUCUCUGGGCCGAUACUGACACUGAGAAGCGAAAGCGUGGGGAGCGAACAGG